rnacentral:rRNA from 1 species
GACGAACGCUGGCGGCGUGCUUAACACAUGCAAGUCGAACGGAAAGGCCCCUUUUUGGGUACUCGAGUGGCGGACGGGUGAGUAACACGUGAGUAACCUGCCCUUGACUUCGGGAUAACUUCAUGAAACUGGGGCUAAUACCGGAUAGGAAUCCUUGCUGCAUGGUGGGGGUUGGAAAGCUUCGGCGGUUUUGGAUGGACUCGCUGCUUAUCAGCUUGUUGGUGGGGUAGUUGCUUACCAAGGCUUUGACUGGUAGCCAGCCUGAGAGGGCGACCGGCCACCUUGGGACUGAGAUACGGCCCAGACUCCUACGGGAGGCAGCAGUGGGGAAUAUUGGACAAUGGGCGGAAGCCUGAUGCAGCAAAGCCGCGGGCGGGAUGACGGCCUUUGGGUUGUAAACCGGUUUCAGCAGGGGCGAAGCUUGUGGUGACGGUACCUGCAGAAGAAGCACCGGCUAACUACGUG